AUUGAACGCUGGCGGCAUGCCUUACACAUGCAAGUCGAACGGUAACGGGCCUUCGGGGUACGACGAGUGGCGGACGGGUGCGUAACGCGUAUGCAACAUGCCUUCCAGCGGGGGAGUAUACCAGGGAAACGUUAGGCGCAAUACCCCACUAGAAUUACGGGACCGCAUGGUCUUGUGAUUAAAACUACCGGUGCUGGGAGAUUGGCAUGCGUGACAUUAGCUAGUUGGCGGGGUAACGGCCCACCCAAGGCGACGAUGUCUAGCUGGUCUGAGAGGAUGAUCAGCCACACUGGGACGUGAGACACGGCCCAGACUCCUACGGGAGGCAGCAG
rnacentral:rRNA from 1 species